GUCGUCAGAAUGAACGCUGGCGGCAUGGAUUAGGCAUGCAAGUCGAACGUACUCCCUUCGGGGAGAAAGUGGCGAAAGGGUGAGUAACACGUGAGCAACCUGCCUCCGGAUCCGGAAUAAUCCAGGGAAACUUGGUCUAAAACCGGGAUGAAGACAUUGGGCCGCAUGGUCUGGUGUUAAAAUAUUUAUAGUCCGGAGAGGGGCUCGCGGCCCAUUAGCUUGUUGGCGGGGUAAUGGCCCACCAAGGCUACGACGGGUAGGUGGUCUGAGAGGAUGGUCACCCACACUGGGACUGAGACACUGCCCAGACUCCUACGGGAGGCUGCAGUCGAGAAUCUUCCGCAAUGGGCGCAAGCCUGACGGAGCGAUGCCGCGUGAGGGAUGAAGGCCUUCGGGUUGUAAACCUCUGUCAUCCGGGACGAAAACAAUGACGGUACCGGAAAAGGAAGCCACGGCUAACCACGUGCCAGCAGCGGC
rnacentral:rRNA from 1 species